GGUCCCAAGCUGCUGUUGGACUACAACUCCCAUCAUCCCUCGCUAGCAUGUCGGGAAUGAUGGGAGUUGUAGUCCAACAGCAGCUGAGGACCCA